UGUAGCUGUUGCUGGUGUAAAUGGGAGUGACUCAAGAAAGCAGCUUGCUAUUCAAAUUCAAGAUCUUGCUUGGCGCGCUAUUGGAGGAGGCAAUGCAAAGCUUUCUGACAAAGCAACCGGCUUAUUUGUCCUAUCUUUGUAUCACAAUCCUGAGUGUUAUAAAAGAUGGGAUAGGGUUUAUGAAGAUGAUGUGGACAAAAGUGUUGCUAUCCUGAGAAAACUGAAGAAGCUGU